rnacentral:rRNA from 1 species
GAUGAACGCUGGCGGCGUGCCUAAUACAUGCAAGUCGAGCGAACGGACGAGAAGUUUGCUUCUCUGAUGUUAGCGGCGGACGGGUGAGUAACACGUGGAUAACCUACCUAUAAGACUGGGAUAACUUCGGGAAACCGGAGCUAAUACCGGAUAAUAUUUUGAACCGCAUGGUUCAAAAGUGAAAGACGGUCUUGCUGUCACUUAUAGAUGGAUCAGCGCUGCAUUAGCUAGUUGGUAAGGUAACGGCUUACCAAGGCAACGAUGCAUAGCCGACCUGAGAGGGUGAUCGGCCACACUGGAACUGAGACACGGUCCAGACUCCUGCGGGAGGCAGCAGUAGGGAAUCUUCCGCAAUGGGCGAAGGCCUGACGGAGCAACGCCGCGUGAGUGAUGAAGGUCUUCGGAUCGUAAAACUCUGUUAUGAGGGAAGAACAUAUGUGUAAGUAACUGUGCACAUCUUGACGGUACCUAAUCAGAAAGCCACGGCUAACUACGUG